rnacentral:rRNA from 1 species
UACGUAGGGUGCAAGCGUUGUCCGGAAUUAUUGGGCGUAAAGAGCUCGUAGGCGGUUUGUCGCGUCUGCUGUGAAAACGCGGGGCUCAACUCCGCGCCUGCAGUGGGUACGGGCAGACUAGAGUGCGGUAGGGGAGAUUGGAAUUCCUGGUGUAGCGGUGGAAUGCGCAGAUAUCAGGAGGAACACCGAUGGCGAAGGCAGAUCUCUGGGCCGUAACUGACGCUGAGGAGCGAAAGCGUGGGGAGCGAACAGG